rnacentral:misc_RNA from 1 species
GAGAAGAACGUAGCGAAAUGCGAUAAGUAAUGUGAAUUGCAGAAUUCAGUGAAUCAUCGAAUCUUUGAACGCACAUUGCGCCCCCUGGUAUUCCGGGGGGCAUGCCUGUCCGAGCGUCAUUACAACCCUCAAGCUCAGCUUGGUAUUGGGCCCCGCCGACCCGGCGGGCCCUAAAGUCAGUGGCGGUGCCGUCCGGCUCCGAGCGUAGUAAUUCUUCUCGCUCUGGAGGUCCGGUCGUGUGCUCGCCAGCAACCCCCAAUUUUUUUCAGGUUGACCUCGGAUCAGGUAGGGAUACCCGCUGAACUUAAGCAUAUCAAUAAGCGGAGGA